AUGACUUCUAAAUCAGAAUGAUGUGUAGUUUAUGACUUUCCUAACAUAAAGUUGGAUGGUUGUUUGGGCCAUCAUUUGAAAUAUUAUUUUUACUUGAUUUUGCAUAUGCACCUUCAAGAAUAAUGGUUGUAUCCAUCCUAUCUAACAUAGAUUUAGGAACCAAAACAAUUCUUACUAAUGAAUAAUCCAACAAGGAGGCCACAUUUGUGUUGUUGGCACUUCAUUUCUGUUGUGAUUAAGUUAAGUAUUUCGGGUUAAUAGGCCACCCAAUUAACUUUGGCAAGAUUUUUUGCUUACCCUUGUUAGAGUCAGAACCGAAAUGGAGCCUCCUCAGGCGUUUGGAUUUUCAGCCGUCGGAUCGGAAUCUCCUCGCGACACAGACUGUCGGAUCUCGAUCCAAAUCGCUGUGGGUCGUUGGAUAUUUACCGGAUCAACUUCGGCCGUCGGAUAAAAUUUCAAUUGCAUCAGAAUGUAAUAUCUUUGCCCACACCAGGGCUAUGUUUAUAAAGCGGUAAAGCGAAGCGAGGCGCUAGGGGGGCGCCUCACUGCUUAAGCGAUAAAGCGUAAAGCGAGGCGACGCUUUAGACAGACUCUGAACCUGAUGGGCAGUAUAAUAGAGCACCAUUUAGUGAGACAUAUAUAUGUUGAUUCUAAUCCACCAGUGAGCCCAUAUAUUCUGAUCCAUCCACUAAGCAGCAAGCAACUAGCCAAUUGCUAUAAGAGAGGCAGUAGCACCUAACAGCAGAGGAGUUGUGCAUAGCAUAACACACAACAGAGCAGAAAAGGCUGGUGCAGAUCUGAGGAAGCUGCUGCCAGAGGAGAGAGGAAAGAGCUGAAAGCCUGGAUAUUUGCACGCUCUGGUUUUGGUUCUCUCUCUUUCUUUCCCCUCCUGUAACUGUUUCAAAUGUGAGCCCAGCCCUGUUUCCCUGCCAGGAAUCUCUGUACCCUGCCUGGCAAGUCUAAGGCGUCCUCUCUGCCUUAAAGCGCCAAUCAGGAUGCCUAAGCAGGCGCUUCAGACGCUUUAGUGUCUAAGGCGGACGCCUUAGACACAUGUCUAAAGCGAGUUGGACGCUUUGAGCCUGGAGGGCGCUCUAACGCUUAAGCGUCGCUUAAGCGACGCUUUAGGGACGCUUUACAAACAGAGCACCAGGGUAUUUUAGUCAUUUAAUCGGGGUCGUCAUGCCACCGCCUGUAAAUUUGGUGGCCCGCUAAGGGUAAUUUCGUCAUUUCACCUGGUGGCAUAUAAGUGCAGCAAGCCACCUCCCGCACACGCGCAGCUCCGCUCCGUCCUCCCCUCGCGGCUUCCCCUCCCGUAACCCUACCUCCUCCUCUCCUCUGAGCCGCCGCCACCCGUCCUCCUCCUCUCCUCUGCGGCACCGCUGCCCAUCCUCCUCCUCUCCUCUGCACUGCCGUUGCCCGUCUUCCUCCUCCUCUGUGUCGCCGCCGCCCGUCCUCCUCCUCUCCUCUGUGCCGCCCGUCUCUGUCGCCGUCUGGCCUAGAUGCGUCCGGAGUCCGUCGGCGCCGCACGCGGAGGAGACGCGGCGAGGAGGAGCACGAGCCAGCGGAGCAGUGGAUCGUCGCGCCGUCGACGGGAGGAAGCUGGGCGUCAUCCACGGGGAAGCACAAGGCGCUGGUGGAUCGGGGUUUCUCGUGACUGGAUCAAGGUCAGAGUGUCAUCGCCGUUGCCCGUCACUGGCCUCGCCUCACCUCAGCGUGCUCGGCUGGGACAUCGAGCGGCUGCCCAGCAUCGUCAUCAACCCCCGCGGCAUGCCUCGGACAGGCCUCCUGGCCAGGGAGGGCGAGGGCGCCACCGCUCAGGAGGCAAAGGUUCUCAAGCUAUUCGCUUCUGCAGGUUGCCCACCAACGAGACCGCCUGAGUAGUAAAAUUAUUGAUUGCGGGGGAAUGUUGACACUAGAUAAUGACGGCGCAGAUGCAAAGGUUCUCAAGCUAUUCGCUUCUGCAGGUUGCCCACCAACGAGACCGCCUGAGUAGUAAAAUUAUUGAUUGCGGGGGAAUGUUGACACUAGAUAAUGACGGCGCAGAUGCAGUGAAGGAGGAUGUUGGUAGUAUAAUGAAUGACGCCCCUUGAGUGGAUGAUGUUGCUGCAGGGAAGAUCGGUCCUCCAAGUAAAGACAAUGGCGGAGAGGUUCAUGAGCAAGGGCAUGAUACAAGAAGUGUUGAAAAGGUUCAAGGGAUCUUCUCCAUAAAUCCAGAGAAUGGCCAAGAAGAGCAUCUCUUGGUACUUCAAAGUUUAUACCGCACUUCACGACAAGGAAAGAAAAGAGAAGAAUGGCUCUGAGGACCAAAAGUGUGAGUUCUUUCCACAAGCAACAAAAUCUAUCAGGCCCACAAGUGUUGAACUGGGCUCGGCCCGAUUACAAGAGGAGAAGCCGAGGAAUAUAAGAAGACACGUUCCACUCAGUAUCCACAUUUCACGGUACCUCGCCUGGAUCUAGAAGUGCGGCUACAACGACCUCGACCUGGCCAAAGUACAAACCCAACCCUUCUCGGCGGAUCUCGAUUGAAUCUUGGGCUCAAGUACUAGGCACAUCAUGGAAGGGGCAAGAGCCGACGACCCGAUCUACCGCAGUAAUGACGAAGUUUUUCAGGUAGACACUGUCGUAAAUGCCACCGUGCCGGAAAGCCAAGGAUUGAAACCAUGUGCAGUGAACCAUACCUUUGUGAGAGGACCAAGACAAGAGGACCGCUUGGAUGCAGGUGCUUCUACGCGAAAAAGCUAAAAAUAUCUCCAUACGAGCAUGAUUGACUCAAGCAAUCUGUUGGUACGACGAAGCCUGCCAUCAGGUAUUACAUAUGUGAGACGACCGAGACUACCACCGCUCCCGGCCAACAAAUGGUGAGAGGAAUGAUCUUGACCAUCAUAUGCUACCAGUUUCCAGUAUUUCUCAGCUCCAUCACAUGGAGAUACCUAGCAAGUAACCUUGAACAAUCAAUCGAUGAUGUGCGCUAAGGAGCAGGUCAGAAUUAUUAUGGGCGUGAAUGCAAGAGCAACCAUCAGAACCAAUUGGUCAUACUUUGUGACAAUAACAGCUUGCAAAACUUUUAGCUAUGUGCCUUUGCCUUCAAGUCUAAAAUGGGCAGACUGUCGCUCACUGUCUACCCGCUUUGGGAAGGCAGUUAUGAAAUCAUACUAUUAUGCAAAUACUUCUAUGUGAUUUCAUUGGCUAGACCGUAAAAUCGCCAGAGAUUCAUGUAUCAUGUCAUGUAAGGAGUCAGGAUGACCCAACGAAGCUAUCAAGUAUUAGGCUUUAGCAUAACUACUUAGGUUCUUUAUCUCGCAUCGCCUAUGUGGCUCCCUUUGCCUAUAUAAUGACUCAACUGUUGUAUUUACUUAGUGAUGAUCCAUCGUCUAAACUUAUUUUUGUAAGAAAAAUGCUCCUUUGCUUUCGGUAUA